AGUGAAGCGGCAACAGCUCAAAUUUGAAAUCUGGCCUCGGCCCGAGUUGUAAUUUGCAGAGGAUGCUUUUGGUGCGGUGCCUUCCGAGUUCCCUGGAACGGGACGCCACAGAGGGUGAGAGCCCCGUAUGGUCGGACACCAAUCCUGUGUAAAGCUCCUUCGACGAGUCGAGUAGUUUGGGAAUGCUGCUCUAAAUGGGAGGUAAAUCUCUUCUAAAGCUAAAUACCGGCCAGAGACCGAUAGCGCACAAGUAGAGUGAUCGAAAGAUGAAAAGCACCUUGAAAAGGGGGUUAAACAGUACGUGAAAUUGUUGAAAGGGAAGCACUUGUGACCAGACUUGGGCCGGGCGGCUCAUCAGGGGUUCUCCCCUGUGCAUUCCGCCCGGUACAGGCCAGCAUCGGUUCUUACCGGGGGAUAAGAACGGCAGGAACGUGGCUCCCCCUCGGGGGAGUGUUAUAGCCUGCCGUACGAUACCCUGGCGGGGACCGAGGUUCGCGCUUCCGCAAGGAUGCUGGCGUAAUGGUUACUAGUGACCCGUCUUGAAACACGGACCAAGGAGUCGUCCAUUAGAGCGAGCGUUUGGGUGUAAAACCCGCACGCGUAAUGAAAGUGAAAUUAGGUGAGAGCUUCGGCGCAUCAUCGACCGAUCCUGAUGUUCUCGGAUGGAUUUGAGUAAGAGUUUUAACGGACGGACCCGAAAGACAGUGAACUAUGCUUGUAUAGGGUGAAGCCAGAGGAA
rnacentral:rRNA from 1 species